AGCGAACGCUGGCGGCAGGCUUAACACAUGCAAGUCGAGCGGGCAUCCUUGUGGUGUCAGCGGCAGACGGGUGAGUAACGCGUGGGAACGUGCCCUUCGGUUCGGAAUAACUCAGGGAAACUUGAGCUAAUACCGGAUACGUGCGAGAGCAGAAAGGUUUAUCUGCCGAAGGAUCGGCCCGCGUCUGAUUAGCUAGUUGGUGAGGUUACGGCUCACCAAGGCGACGAUCAGUAGCUGGUCUGAGAGGAUGAUCAGCCACACUGGGACUGAGACACGGCCCAGACUCCUACGGGAGGCAGCAGUGGGGAAUAUUGGACAAUGGGGGCAACCCUGAUCCAGCCAUGCCGCGUGAGUGGUGACGGCCUUAGGGUUGUAAAGCUCUUUUCUCCGGGACGAUAAUGACGGUACCGGAGGAAUAAGCCCCGGCUAACUUCGUGC
rnacentral:rRNA from 1 species